rnacentral:rRNA from 1 species
UACGAAGGGGGCUAGCGUUGCUCGGAAUCACUGGGCGUAAAGCGCACGUAGGCGGCUUGUUAAGUCAGGGGUGAAAUCCUGGAGCUCAACUCCAGAACUGCCUUUGAUACUGGCGAUCUCGAGUCCGGGGGAGGUGAGUGGAACUGCGAGUGUAGAGGUGAAAUUCGUAGAUAUUCGCAAGAACACCAGUGGCGAAGGCGGCUCACUGGCCCGGUACUGACGCUGAGGCACGAAGGUCAGGGGAGCAAACGGG